UACGAAGGGGGCUAGCGUUGCUCGGAAUCACUGGGCGUAAAGCGCACGUAGGCGGCUUUUUAAGUCAGGGGUGAAAUCCUGGGGCUCAACUCCAGAACUGCCUUUGAUACUGAGAAGCUUGAGUCCGGGAGAGGUGAGUGGAACUGCGAGUGUAGAGGUGAAAUUCGUAGAUAUUCGCAAGAACACCAGUGGCGAAGGCGGCUCACUGGCCCGAUACUGACGCUGAGGCACGAAAGCGUGGGGAGCAAACAGG
rnacentral:rRNA from 1 species